rnacentral:rRNA from 1 species
UUGGGAUUUGCUUAUUGCACCACAUGUGUUUUUUAUUGAACAAAUUUCUUUGGUGGCGGGAGCAAUCCUACCGCCAGAGGUUAUAACUAAACCAAACUUUUUAUUUACAGUCAAACUUGAUUUAUUAUUACAAUAGUCAAAACUUUCAACAACGGAUCUCUUGGUUCUCGCAUCGAUGAAGAACGCAGCGAAAUGCGAUACGUAAUAUGAAUUGCAGAUAUUCGUGAAUCAUCGAAUCUUUGAACGCACAUUGCGCCCUUUGGUAUUCCAAAGGGCAUGCCUGUUUGAGCGUCAUUUCUCCCUCAAACCCCCGGGUUUGGUGUUGAGCAAUACGCUAGGUUUGUUUGAAAGAAUUUAACGUGGAAACUUAUUUUAAGCGACUUAGGUUUAUCCAAAAACGCUUAUUUUGCUAGUGGCCACCACAAUUUAUUUCAUAACUUUGACCUCAAAUCAGGUAGGACUACCCGCUGAACUUAAGCAUAUCAAAAACCGGGAGGAA